GGUGUUUGGAGGCAUUCAAUUGAUGUGGCAGUAGAACCAAGUUUUCUAGAUCUAUUUUCUUCUUCGUCAUUUGACGGCUUCUUAAUUCUUCCGUUUGAGUUGAUGAUUUCCAACAGGUGUUGGUUUUCAGCCAUAGCCUCCAGUCACAAUUUCCAACAGCGGAGAGUUGUUUUUUUUCCUAAAUCUUUGGAGACCGGUUUGGGCAACCACAUGGACAGCAUGUGCAACCACUUGGAUCGAACGAACAAUAUACUGUAAUGUUCUAAUUUCCUUGCUUAGUCACUCACCUUUUUGAGGUUUUUUUCUAUUGAACUUUCCUUUGACAGCUUAUAUGUAAGUUAUGAGCAGUUCUUUUAGGUAGUAUAGCAUAUAUUUUUAUUGUGCUAACU